GAUGAACGCUGGCGGCGUGCCUAAUACAUGCAAGUCGAGCGAACAGAUGAGGAGCUUGCUUUUCUGACGUUAGCGGCGGGCGGGUGAGUAACACGUGGAUAACCUACCUAUCAGACUGGGAUAACUUCGGGAAACCGGAGCUAAUACCGGAUAAUAUAUUGAACCGCAGGGUUCAAUAGUGAAAGACGGUUUUGCGGUCACUUAUAGAUGGAUCCGCGCCGCAUUAGCUAGUUGGUAAGGUAACGGCUUACCAAGGCAACGAUGCGUAGCCGACCUGAGAGAGGGGUCGGCCACCCGGGAACUGAGCCACGCUCCCGACGCCUGCGAGAGGGAGCAGUAGGCUACCUGCCGCAACGGUCGAGAGCCUGACGCAGCGACGGCGAGUGAGUGACGGAGGUCUCCGGUUCGUAAAGCUCUGUUUUUAGGUAUGAACAAAUGUCUAAGUAACUGUGGCCGUCUUGACGGUACCUGAUGAGAAAGCCCCGGCUAACUACGUG
rnacentral:rRNA from 1 species